GAUGAACGCUAGCGAUAGGCCUAACACAUGCAAGUCGAGGGGUAACAGGGGUUUCGGCCCGCUGACGACCGGCGGAUGGGUGAGUAACACGUAUGCAACCUACCUACGACAUUGGGAUAACCCGUUGAAAGGCGGACUAAUACCUUAUAUCAUAUAAUUCACGCCUGUGUAUUAUAUGAAAGAUUUUAUCGGUUGUAGCUGGGCAUGCGCAUGAUUAGCUAGUUGGUAAGGUAAUGGCUUACCAAGGCAACGAUCAUUAGGGGUCCUGAGAGGGAGAUCCCCCACACUGGUACUGAGACACGGACCAGACUCCUACGGGAGGCAGCAGUGAGGAAUAUUGGUCAAUGGAGGCAACUCUGAACCAGCCACGUCGCGUGCAGGAUGACUGUCUUAUGGAUUGUAAACUGCUUUUUCGGUAGAGUAAUUAGCACUACGUGUAGUGUUUUGCAAGUAUACCGAGAAUAAGGAUCGGCUAACUCCGUGCCAGCAGCCGCGGUAAUACGGAGGAUCCGAGCGUUAUCCGGAUUUAUUGG
rnacentral:rRNA from 1 species